rnacentral:rRNA from 1 species
GUGGCGCACGGGUGCGUAACGCGUGGGAAUCUGCCCCUUGGUUCGGAAUAACCGUUGGAAACGACGGCUAAUACCGGAUGACGACGAAAGUCCAAAGAUUUAUCGCCGAGGGAUGAGCCCGCGUAGGAUUAGCUAGUUGGUGUGGUAAAGGCGCACCAAGGCGACGAUCCUUAGCUGGUCUGAGAGGAUGAUCAGCCACACUGGGACUGAGACACGGCCCAGACUCCUACGGGAGGCAGCAGUGGGGAAUAUUGGACAAUGGGCGCAAGCCUGAUCCAGCAAUGCCGCGUGAGUGAUGAAGGCCUUAGGGUUGUAAAGCUCUUUUACCCGGGAUGAUAAUGACAGUACCGGGAGAAUAAGCUCCGGCUAACUCCGUGCCAGCAGCCGCGGUAAUACGGAGGGAGCUAGCGUUGUUCGGAAUUACUGGGCGUAAAGCGCACGUAGGCGGCUUUGUAAGUUAGAGGUGAAAGCCUGGAGCUCAACUCCAGAAUUGCCUUUAAGACUGCAUCGCUUGAAUCCAGGAGAGGUGAGUGGAAUUCCGAGUGUAGAGGUGAAAUUCGUAGAUAUUCGGAAGAACACCAGUGGCGAAGGCGGCUCACU